GACGAACGCUGGCGGCGUGCCUAAUACAUGCAAGUUGAGCGCUGAAGGUUGGUACUUGUACCAACUGGAUGAGCAGCGAACGGGUGAGUAACGCGUGGGGAAUCUGCCUUUGAGCGGGGGACAACAUUUGGAAACGAAUGCUAAUACCGCAUAAAAACUUUAAACACAAGUUUUAAGUUUGAAAGAUGCAAUUGCAUCACUCAAAGAUGAUCCCGCGUUGUAUUAGCUAGUUGGUGAGGUAAAGGCUCACCAAGGCGAUGAUACAUAGCCGACCUGAGAGGGUGAUCGGCCACAUUGGGACUGAGACACGGCCCAAACUCACACGGGAGGCAGCAGUAGGGAAUCUUCGGCAAUGGACGAAAGUCUGACCGAGCAACGCCGCGUGAGUGAAGAAGGUUUUCGGAUCGUAAAACUCUGUUGGUAGAGAAGAACGUUGGUGAGAGUGGAAAGCUCAUCAAGUGACGGUAACUACGCAGAAAGGGACGGCUAACUACGUG
rnacentral:rRNA from 1 species